AUGGGAGGUAGCAGGAUCUGCCAGCAGCCGUCUUGGGACCCUGAAGGAAACCAUCUUGAGCGUGAAGCCGGUCACAGAGGUGGGUAGAGAGGUGAGAUCUUGCUCUGUUGCCCAGGCUGGUCUUGAGCUCCUGGCCUCAAGUGGUCCUCCCAUUUUGGCCUCCCAAAGUGCUGGGAUUACAGGCACAAGCCUCUGUGCUCAGCCCUCAACUUACUCUUAUUUCUGACUGCCAUCUGUAAUGGGAUACAGGCUAAGGCCAAAAAGAACGUUCUUUAGAAAUGCAAUGAAAACCCUCAGCUUCCCUUCACCAGAUGCUCCCUACAUGAUACUCCCAGAGGCUCUAACUGCCUGCUUACUUAGAAGCUCCAGAGCCAUGACUCUCUCUCACCAGGAGAUCACCUCAAGAGACAACACUCAAUCUGCAACCUAAAGCAUGUCCACGAUGGAACUCGCUCCCACCUGGAGAGUAUCUCGAGACAAUGGCCACCUUACAACCUAGCUCUGCCCAGGAUGGCACCAGCUGGACCACUCAGUAGAUAAGGCGACACAGUGAGUCAUGUAGACCUUGCACCUGAUCGCUCCCUCCCCUGUGUGCUGCUCAUGCCAGGUUCCUGUUUAAAAGCCCUGCUUUCUGCACACAAAGGGAAGCAGUACCCUUAAAGGCAGGAGCCAGUACAUCUUCCCCUAAGCUAAGCCUUAGAAUAACGUCACUUUCUUUACACCAGACCUCACCCCUGUUCAUUGGACUCUGCAAGCAGCAAGUGACUGAACCUGAAUUUCAGUUACACAAGGAAGUCUGGGAAAGGAGGUCUAGCUGUUUAUUCAGGAAGGGAAACUUAGAUCUUAAAGAGUGGCACGUUUUUUUCACAGCACCUGAGGCCAGGAAAUGACAUGAAGUUGUGCACAUUCAUUUCGGGUAGAUUAAAUAAUGAGAUAGCUGCCACACUUGUCACCAGUACAUUUCUGGGUAAUCCUAGGCUCACCUACAUACUUUAAUUAUAUAAAAGAGCCUCUGCCCCCAGUCAAUGAGCUAUUGGAAAAUGUACUGCAUCAGUUAUUUAUUUCUGGGUAUCACUUAUUCCCAAAGCUUGAUCUGAUUCAGUUAAUUCCAGGCUCUCUGUAAUGAAAUUAAUAAAAAUACUUGUCACUCUAAGGAACUGACUAGGUACAUUGACUAAGAGGUCUGGAGACCUAUAUUUUUUUGCUUAAACUAUCUCUUUAUUCUUAAAACUGUCUUCCAUUUCAACCUUUAAACUGCUUAAUAAGCAUUUCUCUACAGUUCAAGAAGUUUCCAUGGCACUAAUUCAAAAUAGAAUCUUGCUCUGUCGCCCGGGCUGGAGUGCAGUAGUGCAAUCUCGGCUCACUGCAGCCUCUGCCUCCUGGGUUCAAGCGAAUCUCCUGCCUCAAGCCUCCUGAGAAUCUGGGACUACAGGCGUGUGCCACCAAGCCCAGAUAAGUUUUGUAUUUUUAGUAGAGAUGGGAUUUCACCAUGUUGGCCAGGCUGGUCUGGAACUCCUGACCUCAAGUGAUCCACUUGCCUUGGUCUCCCAAAGUGUUGGGAUUACAGGCGUGAGCCAUCACGCCCGGCUGGCAUAUGACCUUUUUCAUAGUAAGUUUGCCCUGCUAACUUCAUUGGUUGAUCUAGGACAAGUGGGGUUUGUUGUUUUGCAAGCUCUAAUGGUCAUUAUUUUCAAUAUACAAAACCAGCAUAACAUCUAUGACAGAUAUUCCUAUUAAUUGAGACAUUUUAUACUCAAAUUCAGAACCACUGUUUUUCUGGCUGCUUUUGACUAGAAGGUGAACAUUCCAGAUGUAGUGUUGAUGUUUGUCCCCUCCAAAUGUCACGUUGAAAUGUGACCUCCAAUGUUGGUGGUGGGGCUUAGUGGGGAGUGUUUGCAUCAUUAGGAAGGAUCCCUCAUGAAUGGCUUAGUGUCCUCCUCAUGGUAAUGAGUGAGUUCUCACUCUGUUAAUUCACAUGCUGGUGCCAUGCUUAUAUAGCCUGCAGAACCACGAGCCAAAUAAACAGCUUUUCUGUAUAAAUU
rnacentral:lncRNA from 1 species